GAAAAGGUGCCAAGUGACCCCAAGCAGAACAAGUGUGGUUGUGUCAUAUUGUGAGAAUCGGCUCUUAAAGCAGCAUUACACUCAGGUUGGUAGGGCCUUGAUUGAUUCUAUUUAUAACGUAUUUUCAUGUUCUGCAAAAAUUUAUUUGAAUCUUGCUGUUGGUUCAGACAGACAGAGGUGGAGAAUGUGGAUUUGGUAGAAUAGAGAGUGAGGUCAAGGGGAUUGCUGACCCAAGUAAGGUUGCUGUUGUUGAGUCCGAUUGAAAACUCCAGGCACAUGUGUCACCAUAUGAGUUUCUGCACUUCCAUUUUCACUUCUUUUGUUGUUCAUCAUCCCACAGUCCAAUUACGUAAUCAUGGCUGCAAUUCAUCAAUUGAAAAUUGUUGCUUCAAAUAAAUGCCUAAUGUGUAAAUACUA
rnacentral:lncRNA from 1 species